rnacentral:tRNA from 1 species
GCGAUUGUGGUGAAGUGGUUAACACAGCGGAUUGUGGCUCCGUCACUCGUGGGUUCGAAUCCCAUCAGUCGCCCCA